UGAGGAAUAUUGGACAAUGGGCGCAAGCCUGAUCCAGCCAUGCCGCGUGCAGGAUGACGGUCCUAUGGAUUGUAAACUGCUUUUGUACAGGAAGAAACAGUUCUACGUGUAGAACCUUGACGGUACUGUAAGAAUAAGGAUCGGCUAACUCCGUGCCAGCAGCCGCGGUAAUACGGAGGAUCCAAGCGUUAUCCGGAAUCAUUGGGUUUAAAGGGUCCGUAGGCGGUUAGAUAAGUCAGUGGUGAAAGCCCAUCGCUCAACGGUGGAACGGCCAUUGAUACUGUCUGACUUGAAUUAUUAGGAAGUAACUAGAAUAUGUAGUGUAGCGGUGAAAUGCUUAGAGAUUACAUGGAAUACCAAUUGCGAAGGCAGGUUACUACUAAUGGAUUGACGCUGAUGGACGAAAGCGUGGGUAGCGAACAGGAUUAGAUACCCACGUAGUCCCUGAGCGGGCUGGCAAGGCGCAU
rnacentral:rRNA from 1 species